rnacentral:rRNA from 1 species
CAACCUGCCGCUUACUCGGGGAUAGCCUUUCGAAAGAAAGAUUAAUACCCGAUGGUAUAAAGAGUUCGCAUGUUCUCUUUAUUAAAGAAUUUCGGUAAGCGAUGGGGAUGCGUUCCAUUAGAUAGUUGGCGGGGUAACGGCCCACCAAGUCUACGAUGGAUAGGGGUUCUGAGAGGAAGGUCCCCCACAUUGGAACUGAGACACGGUCCAAACUCCUACGGGAGGCAGCAGUGAGGAAUAUUGGUCAAUGGACGAGAGUCUGAACCAGCCAAGUAGCGUGAAGGAUGACUGCCCUAUGGGUUGUAAACUUCUUUUAUAAGGGAAUAAAGUGAGGGACGUGUCCCUUUUUGUAUGUACCUUAUGAAUAAGGAUCGGCUAACUCCGUGCCAGCAGCCGCGGUAAUACGGAGGAUCCGAGCGUUAUCCGGAUUUAUUGGGUUUAAAGGGAGCGUAGGUUGACGUAUAAGUCAGCUGUGAAAGUUUACGGCUCAACCGUGAAAUUGCAGUUGAUACUGUAUGUCUUGAGUGUACAAGAGGUGGGCGGAAUUCGUGGUGUAGCGGUGAAAUGCUUAGAUAUCACGAAGAACUCCGAUUG